CCGUCUUCGACGUAAUGUUUACGGGAUGUCUCGUCAAAAAUGGAGUACAUGAUGCCGCCCGCUUUUGACAACGCGUUGCCGGAGUGUGGCCAGAUGAUGACGUUAGAUUCAUCGGUAAAGCGGCGGCCGUGUUGAUCAAUCCACAGAUAUGGCUGACGCGCGGCGGCUAGCAGAUGAGAGUUAGGCGCAUAGUCUGGCAGGCCGGGGCGAUAGGCUUGCAGCAGACCCAUGCCGUCCGGUUUGGCACCGGCUUUCCAGGCCAUAUUAAUCCCGUCGCCGUCUUUACCGACGUUGCCAACCAUAAUGGUGUCGGGGAAGGCGGCAUAUUUUUGCAGC
rfam:Erwinia carotovora subsp. atroseptica SCRI1043, complete genome